AUUGAACGCUGGCGGCAUGCCUUACACAUGCGAGUCGAACGGUAACAGGUUAAGCUGACGAGUGGCGAACGGGUGAGUAAUGUAUCGGAACGUGCCCAGUCGUGGGGGAUAACUGCUCGAAAGAGCAGCUAAUACCGCAUACGACCUGAGGGUGAAAGCGGGGGCUCGCAAGACCUCGCGCGAUUGGAGCGGCCGAUAUCAGAUUAGGUAGUUGGUGAGGUAAAGGCUCACCAAGCCGACGAUCUGUAGCUGGUCUGAGAGGACGACCAGCCACACUGGGACUGAGACACGGCCCAGACUCCUACGGGAGGCAGCAGUGGGGAAUUUUGGACAAUGGGCGCAAGCCUGAUCCAGCCAUGCCGCGUGCGGGAAGAAGGCCUUCGGGUUGUAAACCGCUUUUGUCAGGGAAGAAAAGGUUCUGGUUAAUACCUGGGACUCAUGACGGUACCUGAAGAAUAAGCACCGGCUAACUACGUG
rnacentral:rRNA from 1 species